GCUCAGGACGAACGCUGGCGGCGUGCCUAAUACAUGCAAGUCGAACGCUUCUUUUUCCACCGGAGCUUGCUCCACCGGAAAAAGAAGAGUGGCGAACGGGUGAGUAACACGUGGGUAACCUGCCCAUCAGAAGGGGAUAACACUUGGAAACAGGUGCUAAUACCGUAUAACAAUCGAAACCGCAUGGUUUUGAUUUGAAAGGCGCUUUCGGGUGUCGCUGAUGGAUGGACCCGCGGUGCAUUAGCUAGUUGGUGAGGUAACGGCUCACCAAGGCCACGAUGCAUAGCCGACCUGAGAGGGUGAUCGGCCACAUUGGGACUGAGACACGGCCCAAACUCCUACGGGAGGCAGCAGUAGGGAAUCUUCGGCAAUGGACGAAAGUCUGACCGAGCAACGCCGCGUGAGUGAAGAAGGUUUUCGGAUCGUAAAACUCUGUUGUUAGAGAAGAACAAGGAUGAGAGUAACUGUUCAUCCCUUGACGGUAUCUAACCAGAAAGCCACGGCUAACUACGUGCCAGCAGCCGCGGUAAUACGUAGGUGGCAAGCGUUGUCCGGAUUUAUUGGGCGUAAAGCGAGCGCAGGCGGUUUCUUAAGUCUGAUGUGAAAGCCCCCGGCUCAACCGGGGAGGGUCAUUGGAAACUGGGAGACUUGAGUGCAGAAGAGGAGAGUGGAAUUCCAUGUGUAGCGGUGAAAUGCGUAGAUAUAUGGAGGAACACCAGUGGCGAAGGCGGCUCUCUGGUCUGUAACUGACGCUGAGGCUCGAAAGCGUGGGGAGCAAACAGGAUUAGAUACCCUGGUAGUCCACGCCGUAAACGAUGAGUGCUAAGUGUUGGAGGGUUUCCGCCCUUCAGUGCUGCAGCUAACGCAUUAAGCACUCCGCCUGGGGAGUACGACCGCAAGGUUGAAACUCAAAGGAAUUGACGGGGGCCCGCACAAGCGGUGGAGCAUGUGGUUUAAUUCGAAGCAACGCGAAGAACCUUACCAGGUCUUGACAUCCUUUGACCACUCUAGAGAUAGAGCUUCCCCUUCGGGGGCAAAGUGACAGGUGGUGCAUGGUUGUCGUCAGCUCGUGUCGUGAGAUGUUGGGUUAAGUCCCGCAACGAG
rnacentral:rRNA from 1 species